rnacentral:rRNA from 1 species
GAUCAUGGCUCAGGAUGAACGCUAGCUACAGGCUUAACACAUGCAAGUCGAGGGGAAACGACAUCGGAAGCUUGCUUUUGAUGGGCGUCGACCGGCGCACUGGUGAGUAACGCGUAUCCAACCUGCCUACCACUUGGGGAUAACCUUGCGAAAGUAAGACUAAUACCCAAUGACAUCCCACGAAGACAUCUGAAUGGGAUUAAAGAUUUAUCGGUGAUGGAUGGGGAUGCGU